UUAAGAGCUAGCUGGAAAGUCUGGAGGGUCGAACCCACUAAGCCAUCAGCCGCUCCACAGGAGAGCGACGUGGCAGUCGGCUUUAUGGAGGCAGUUCUACUCUGUCCUAUAGGGUCGCUAAGAGUGAUAAUCUACUCGAAGGCAACAGGUUUUCGGUUUGGUUUAAACUGAGGAAGGGAAGCUCUGAGAGAGUCUCCGAUAGAUAAGCAAAGUGCAGGUUACUACAGCGACUAUUUCGAAGAUUUUUAGUAGCCUGGAGUGAUUCCUUCAACGUUCCGGCAAGCAGUCAACGGUGACACGGACAAAUACCAGCGUCUAAAUCAGGUAACAAACAACCCUUUGCCCAAUUUCCGCCCCUAAUCCCGGCUAAAACGCUUGCGUACUCAAUGCGCAUGCGUUAACUUUCCCUUUCGGGAUGGGCGGGGUAAAGUCCGCUCGGACAGAGGCCCUGAGGGGCGGGGCCAGGAUGUUUCCAAGGUGACGGAGCCGCAGUCUCUGUGGUGGAUUGAGCGGGUCUGAGUGAAGUUCCCAGAGGGCUGCGCGGCGUCGGCUCGUCGGCGUUGUCAUGGCGGGGCUGCUUAAGAAGACCACUGGCCUUGUGGGAUUGGCUGUAAGUGAGAAUCCACACGAGAGACUGAAAACAGUAUAUGCAAAGAUACUUGAGAUUCUUCAGCAAAUGCCUAAAAGUGCAGCAUAUAGAAAGUAUACAGAAGAAAUUACAAAUGAGAGGCUGAGUAAAGUUAAUGCAGAACCAGAUGUUAAAAAAUUAGAAGACCAGCUUCAGAGUGGACAAAUCGAAGAAGUGAUUUUUCAGGUUGUUAUGCAAAAAUCAGCAAUAUGCAAAAAUGGAGGAUGACCACAUCAGAUCACAAAAUGGAGGAUGACUACAUCAUUACACAAGUGCAUCAUUAUAUAACUGCCAAACUGAGAAUCAUGGCCCAGCUGAAAAUGAACUAAGUCUGGCGAGAAAAAUGGUACAGUGGAAACCAUGGGAGCCUUUAGUGGAAGAACCCCCUGCCAACCAGUGGAAAUGGCCAAUAUAAUCAUCAUUAAAUGACUUUGGUGUGUUGAUAGGAAAAUGAUUAUAAUUAAAUGUUCUGUUGUCUUAUAAAAA